rnacentral:rRNA from 1 species
UACGGGGGGUGCAAGCGUUGUUCGGAAUCAUUGGGCGUAAAGCGCGUGUAGGCGGCUUAACAAGUCAGAUGUGAAAUCCCUGGGCUUAACCCAGGAAGUGCAUUUGAAACUGUUUGGCUUGAGUAAGGGAGAGGAAAGUGGAAUUCCUGGUGUAGAGGUGAAAUUCGUAGAUAUCAGGAGGAACACCGGUGGCGAAGGCGACUUUCUGGCCCUAUACUGACGCUGAGACGCGAAAGCGUGGGUAGCAAAC